rnacentral:rRNA from 1 species
UCCCGCCUGCCCAGUGACUCUUUAAACGGCCGCGGUAUCCUAACCGUGCAAAGGUAGCAUAAUCACUUGUCCCCUAAAUAGGGACUAGAAUGAACGGCUAAAUGAGGACAAAACUGUCUCUUACGGACCAACCAAUGAAAUUGAUCUUCCAGUACAAAAGCUGGAAUAAACCCAUAAGACGAGAAGACCCUGUGGAGCUUUAAAACCAAAACCACCAAACAUGUUUCUUGGUUUUUUAGUUGGGGCGACUUUGGAGAAAAAAUAAUCCUCCAAACUAUAAACCCAUUUAUUAAGAAUAACACACCAAAAAUAAUUAAAUAGACCCAGCAACAUUAUGUUGUCUGACCAAUGAACCAAGUUACCCCAGGGAUAACAGCGCCAUCCUCUUCUAGAGUCCCUAUCGACAAGGGGGUUUACGACCUCGAUGUUGGAUCAGGACACCCCUAUAGUGCAGCCGCUUUAAAAGGUUCGUUUGUUCAACGAUUAAAGUCCUACGUGAU